UUUUCCCUCUCUUCCCCGUCCUAUUUGCUCGCUGUUUGGCGUCGCCAAAUUCUGACGGCACUGUCGCCCUUUUCUGUCCGAGAUACGCCGCCUGAGUUCUCUAUCCUUGCUGUCGCCAUGGACCUCGCUGCGCCCGGCUAGCGCUGGGAGCGCGUUUUUCGUCUUCCACUUCAUCACAUCGUCAUCUCCGUCUCCUUCGAAGUACGACUACAGCAGCAACCCCCGGCUGCAGUUCCACCUUUGGUGCUGUGGUGUUCUGAUGUUCCCUUGCUUCUGUUGCACUUCAACGGCAACCAUGUCAACCGUAUACACGAGCAAGUCCUUCUGGUUGGUCACUUGAUCCAAUUCCCAGGGCAACCAAGAUCCAAUCCCAGGUGAAACGCACAGCCAUCCUGCUUGCUGUGUGUUGCUUCAAUUCAGAACCUCAUUUGCUUCUUCCCGGAUAGGAUCACGAAGUGGUGAUGUGAGAUACGACGAGUUCUCCGACAAGUUCUUCUGCAGCUUUUCACAG